rnacentral:tRNA from 1 species
CGGGGUGUGGCGCAGCUUGGUAGCGCAUCUGCUUUGGGAGCAGAGGGUCGCAGGUUCAAAUCCUGUCACCCCGACCG